GACACCUCAGAGUCUUACCCACGCCAGCCACACACACUCUCUCCUCUCAAGAAUUUCCACACCCACCUCAGCAAACAGCCAGAGCAAAUCUGCUUACUUUCCAGUGCUCUCAUAAAUCAACUUGUUCUUUCAAAAUGGUGAGGACAAGGAGAGGAGCUAAAUGCAUGUAAUUAUGUUGAGAGAAGAGGAGUGAAACUUGCUACCUUCUUGCUCCUGAAUUCUGUUUGUUUGUUUAAGUCAGAUUGCCCAGAAGUCAAUGUCAGCUACUAAGGAACAUUCUUUCCUAUUUCUUUUACCCUGUCAGACCCUGGAGGCCUAGUAAUAAGCUCAAGUGCUUCUACCUGAGCCUCCCCAUGCAGUCUGAGAAGGCUCUUCUAUUCCCACAGAGUCAUGUGUGGAAGUCGGUGCGGAAGGUGGGGAACGCAUGGAAGCAGCUCAAGAAAGAUGAAAUCUGCAGAGUCCCUUCCUCUAUUCUCCUGGCCUCAUCUGUCCCUGCUGCCAAGAUGGAUUAUCUGCAGGAACUUGGACCAACUUCACAGAACCUUCCUUAUGUUCUGUUUAUACUGCCCAGACCUGCCCUGGCUUUCGUGUUGCUCCUGAGGCAGAAGAGGCCUUUGGACUCACUCGGCCCCACAUCUGCACAGGCCAGAGAUGCUGGGGGAAUUAACGCCACAAAGGGUUGACUUUAGAUCAAUGUGAGACAAGUAUUUCAACUAUGAUUGCAUAUUUGUCAGUGCCUCUUUGUAAUUCUGUGAGUUUUUUUCCUUCAUUUAUUUGAUAAUAUACUGUCUAAUAAUGCACAUUUUAAAUUCUCAUGUCUUCCUGGUUAACAUUUUUAUUUAGUCCUAAUGGCAUGGGCUUCUUUGCUGGGGAUUAGGGUGUCAGCAUCCUUUUAGGGAUCAUUAUUCUGCCUACCACAACUAUGAUUAACUUUUUGCCAACAAUUUUGAGAAUAUAGGUGAAGUGUGUAUUUUCUUGGGAAAAAUCUGUUUGCUUAUUUUAAUUGGUAAUACAGUAACACUUCCUUUUUGUUGAUUCUUGAUCUGGGAUAUAUACGUUUCUUCUUUUAAUGUUCAGAUUUUCUUGUCAUUUCAUGUUAUGCGUUUCUGUUGUAAAAUAUAUAUAUAUUUGAAUUUUGUUUUAUCAUCCAAUACGAGAGUCUGUUUUGUGAAUUUAGUUUCUUUAUAUUUAUUGAAUGCUCAUUAGCUUUGAUUACUUGAUACUUCCUUAUGUUGUGAUUUCUAAUGGUCAUGUUUCUUUUUCCACAUUUUUUCUUUCCUUCUUUUGUCCUUUUACUCCCUUAAUGGUUUCAGAGUCACACACAUUCUCUUGUCUACUGUAUUAAGUUCAGUAUAUUCAGUUCCUCUCUCUGCA
rnacentral:lncRNA from 10 species